GGGCCGUUAGCUCAGCCUGGUAAGAUAAGUCAUUGGCUUAUUUCGGGAGAGAGCGCUCGACUUUUAAUCGAGCGGUCGCGAGUUCAAACCUCGUACGGCCCG
rnacentral:tRNA from 1 species